CUCAUAAAAAGCAUCUCUAAUCUGCAGCACAAGGAUGGGAGUAUUCCAGCUUUGAGGAGCUCCACGAACAAUGAAAUAUCGCACCUGGAAUGGGAAACCGUGCGAGUUUCCCCAAUCUCUCAUGACUAGUGGAUUCCCUGACAACGGAUGACGGAGAACUGGAGAGUACAUUCGUGAAUGUGUUCCUAACCACCUACCGUAUAUUUGCCAGCCGGAGAAAGUCCUGGGAUUGCUGCUGAACCGAAACGAGAAAUUAAAUUCGCAACCAGCGGCACUAUUGCCCUCGGAUGCGCUGAACGACCAGCACAAGAAAACUCUAGUCUCCAUUCUACACAUUUGGCUGGAUGGAUUCCCCGGAGAUUUGGACACGAGAAGCUUGCAAGGCUUCUGGCCUUCACAUGGAAGCGGUUGCCGAAUUCAGAAAGACACGUUAAAGCUUUACAUAGGUGAGUUAGGCUGAUAUUUUUUCGGUGUUAAGUCAGACCGGAGUAAGUCACAAAUUCUCAAAAAGUGAGAUAAUGAUAGCAUUGGAUAAAGAAUUUCCUAAGAAUACCCUCGCCAUUGCCAUGGUUCAAUGAUUACCAUGAUCUGACCGACUAAUUUGGAGUUUUUGGAGUGUUUACAAUCUGUCUUCCGGGGGACACCUUUGCAUCUGCUGGACUCGUACCGAUUCCCAUGUAGCACUUUACCGAACAGCCGACCCGACCGGAUAUGGAACUGUUCAAGCGGUUGAGACGUGUGAUUUGGUCCAUUAGAGACAAGUACGAGUGUAGAUCAGUACUCGCCACCGUUACCGAGUUUAAUGCGGUAUCCUUCCGGGUGACAUGCUUAUCGAACCGCGACUUAAACCGCAAGUAGAUUAACUACUUAACUAAGUUAGGAAUUAGCGAGUUAUUUUUUUUUACUAGGAACGAACCCUCCUCAUGCCCAUUUGGAUUGACAUUGCACAGGAGCUUCGACUGUUGAAAAACUUCUCCUUAAAGGCGAUCAUCUCAGGACUUCAAUUGAAUGCCGUCUAUCGCCUUUCGAAAACCUGGGCCGUGCGAGAAAAACUACUAAAUUUUCAGACACGGUAGGCGAGAACGACCGGCAUCUGAAGAAGGUAUUUCAGAUGCAAAACAUGGCAGACAGACCUAACGAUGAUUCAUGCUGCCAUGCCUGAUACGCCACAAGAUGGCUUGAUCAAUUUCGACAAGUGACGGAAGGAGUUCGAGGUCAUCAGCCAGAGGAUGCUCUGUUAGGUUGGUAGUUUGCCUCGCUGCUGGUCCCGGACGAGACGCAUUAUCCUCAAAGUAAAUGCGAGCAAAUUGUGUUUAUUUUAAUUUUAGACGCUGAAUCCCUCUGGGUAAAGAGUCAUUAUUCAUACGCGUAUAAUCAUGUGUAAAUCAAGGGGUUGCCAUUCCUAUGGUAAAGAGUCAUUAUUCAUACGCGUAUAAUCAUGUGUAAAUCAAGGGGUUGCCAUUCCUAUGAUCAUUCUCAGGGAUAGACCGUUCCAACAUCAAAUUGUGGUCUUACGGAACGAUUUUUUUUAUUGAA